GCAUAACCAGCUUUGGGAUUUUGCAUUAACCACCUCUUGUUAUUCGAGGUUUCACAGGGACCCCACCCAGCAAGCCACAUAAUCUAUAUAACACUUAUUGAUCCAAAGGUGUAGGAAUAGUCUAUGGGCCCAUCUCAUCUGGCCCAUCUCAGUAUAAUAGUCUUUGAAGUUGUCAUGCUUUUAAGGGUUGGCACACACAUACAGAUAACAUAAUGUUAAAUACAAUAGUCUCAAGAUGUGUCUGUGUUUGCUGUAUCUGUUACUUAUUCUUCCAUUUUUUAGGCUAAGGACUUUAUUAGAGCCCACCUCUCCCUCCUCGCCAAUAAUCAUCCAUAUGAAUGAAAACUUUGAAAGGUCAUGAGUUGGAUUUAUGAAAGAAAAGAAGAAAUGAUGGUGGUUCACGUCAAUCAAUAAGCUGAUGAUUCCACAAUGCUAUGAAUCUAAUGUUUGUAUUGUAAUUGUGUAGGCUCAUCUUUUUAAUAUUUGUGCUCUCUCUCACAGUACCUUGCUAUAUAAUGUAAAACCUGGCAUUCAUAGCAAUGUUUAAGGUUGAGAAAUCAAACCCUCAGAAGUCAGGAAACUUCAUGAAUUAAGGUGGCUCCAGCAUUACCAGGGGUCUGUUGACUUCAGUGGGACUACUCAUGUUCAAAAGCUUUGCUGAGCUGCAGACCAAAUUCCUUGCUAGCAUAAAUUAGUGCAGCUCCAUUGACUUCAAAGGAGUUAUAUCAGUGUAUACCAGUAGACAACUUGGACCUAAGUCUCAUUGAUUUCUUCCCCUCCCCCCGCCCAAGAAAAAAAAGUUACAUUUUGAGUUUCCAGCAUCAGCCAUUUUUGCUUAUUAAAGCCCAGUUCUGAUUUGUCACAGACAGGAAUUGUGGCUUUCUCCAUGACUGAACAAUAGAAAUGUGGCUGAAUGAAUUUUUCUCAAACUUACAAAGGCCUGGUCUACACUAGGCGUUUAUGUCGAAGUUAGCGCCGUUACAUCGAAUUAACCCUGCACCCGUCCACACUGCGAUGCUAUUUAGUUCGACAUAGAGGUCUCUUUAAUUCGACUUCUGUACUCCUCCCCGACGAGGGGAGUAGCGCUAAAUUCGACAUGGCCAUGUCGAAUUAGGCUAGGUGUGGAUGGAAAUCGACGCUAAUAGCUCCGGGAGCUAUCCCACAGUGCACCACUCUGUUGACGCUCUGGACAGCAGUGC
rnacentral:lncRNA from 1 species